UUGCGGCCGCCAAAAUCUUAUCUCCAAAUCUCUCUGUCAUCUCUCAGACCCUAGCGGCCUCCAUAUUCCCCUCGGAUCGGCCGCCUCACUUCGAGCCUUCAAUCCCGACGAUGACGCAAAGCUUUGUAAUCGGCUGCCGGCCUUCCUCUCUCAUCUCCUCGUCCACUCCCGUCGUUCCAGGUCUCUGCUCCUCGGGUCUGAUUUGCAGAGACAUAAGAUCUGAUCGGAGGUCGAGAUCCCAGCGGUAGUGUCAUCGGUAAGUACUAUUCAAAUCCUCUACUGCCCUUGUUCGAUUUUUGGAUUUUUAUCAUUUUAGAUGGCGUUUUUAAUCUCGUUUCUUUUUAUGGUUUCGAGCUAGGAAGAACGGAGGACGCUACAAUCGUGCUCGCUUAUCAGGUAAAGAACGAUGGUGUGACGUUAUGUCCUCAUUAUGCGAAAUUUUCUGUGUACUCUCCUUGCUUUACUGGCUUGUAAUAUAUUUCCAAUCAUGUUCUCAUGUUCUUAAACAAGCAGGGGUUAGUAAUAGAUGGGAGAAGGAGGAUGUGGAGGUAUUGGUUCAACCAGGGGAUUCGGCCGGGAAAAACAGGAGUAUGAAUCGAAAUUUCGAGCUGUAAUAAACUUGUUAGAGAGCGGGUACUGUACAUAUGUGACUCUAAUUUGCAAGGCCUGAUAACUUCAUAGCUAUUGAUUUUAUAUUGUUUGUUCUUAUUAUAUAACACUGAUUUGUUCAUUGAUUGCUUUAUAUGGGAAAUUAAACUUGCUCUCUUUCACUAUAUUCAAAUUGUCUUCCAUGAUGAUUAGAGGAAACAAUCAUAUUGAAAGCCGGUUUUGGAACGUGCUCUGCAUCUAAAAACUCCAAAGCUACUGCUGCAAAAAAUGGCUUUGAGUUAUGUUUAUUUUGAUGACUAUGACUUGGUGGUAUA
rnacentral:lncRNA from 1 species